GGGUUGUGAGGUUAAGCGACUAAGCGUACACGGUGGAUGCCUAGGCAAUCAGAGGCGAUGAAGGACGUGCUAAUCUGCGAUAAGCGUCGGUAAGGUGAUAUGAACCGUUAUACC
rnacentral:rRNA from 1 species